rnacentral:misc_RNA from 1 species
AAGCAAGCAAGCGGCGGUGAGACGGCAGAGGUGCUGAUGUGUGUGUCGCAUUAGCCACUCCACACAACAAACGACAAAAUUUGUCACUGCCCCGGAUCACUGGUGCGGACGGGCUCGCUCCCUUUCUUUUUUGUUUUUGCUUGUUUUUGAGUGCGUGUGCGUGCGGGGUGCCGUUUCUCUUUGCGUAUGUGCGUCGGUGUGCUACCGUUAUUUCUCGUCUGCAUUAUCUCUGUAAGUCCGCGGUAUCUGCCACAGUCGCUCUUGGUCUGUCUGUGUGUCCCGGUCCCGCUCACGCUUCACAGUCCCCGUGUAUUCAUGGAGGGCAGCUCCGGUCUGCAGCUUUUUCUUAUCGGCUUCACACUUGUUGUUUAGAAGUGCACCAACAUAUCGAAAUUAGUGGGCUCUAUUCUUUGAAGAAAGACGUUGGAAUCGGAGAGCUGACCUCUGUUCCGCUCUUCUCGUGUGUAAAACGGUGUUGUCGGGCUUCUCUGCCGGUGCUACCGCGCAGCACAGGUGGGUUGACUCUGGUCUCUUGCUUUGUAGUUUCACUUGACUGCGUGCAGAGUACUGCCAACUUCUCGUGUGUCACAAUGAUCCUCUUGUUCCACAUCGCGGAUAGUGCUGGCCGCAAGCACCGCUUUUCGGCUGUCUGCGGGCCGUCCACGACCGCCGUCGGUGCCAUCAACAAGCUUCGCUUCAAGCUUUCCAUUCCUACAGAGGUGGAUGUAAAGUUGCAUCUCACUAAUGAUGUUCCCAUUCGCCACCUAACAGCACCCUUGACAAGCCUGCGAAAGCAGCGCAGUGGCAGCGCGCAGGUCUUGUGCAUGCCGCUGUGGGCGGUGCUGAGUGGUCCGGAAACCGCCGUCAACGAAAUCGACUACAGUGCAGCUGAUGUUAUAGAUGAGAACGACAGGGAGAAAGAGAACCAGGGGGACGAGGCCUCGAGGAGCUUAUCACACACGCCCCCUCGACCUAGCAGUAGCACGGUGGAGCGGGCCACCAAUGGCAGCCAGCCCACGCGUAUUGUCUUGUCGGCACCUCCGUCAAAAAUGCCACUUGUGCCCGUGCAAGCCAAGAUGCCGGCAGCCGCCGCCUGUCCUCGACCAUAUCGCAAGCCAACGGCCGGUGUGCGCGAGACACCAGAAAAGACGGUCGACAUGAAGAUCGCUUCACUACAAACCGGCGAUGCAAAGAAGAAUGCUUGCUCUAUACCAAACCUUCUCACCACCUCAACCGCAGCAGGCCCGUCGCUUGUAAUAAAGCGUCGCAACAUUUGUGAGGCGGCUGCGGUCGUGGCUCAGAUGCCUCUCUCUUCGCGCGGGCCGGUGCGUCUUCCGCCAAGGGGAGUCGCUCCUCCAUCGCAGGACAUGCCGCAGACGGCUCGCGCCGCGCCGCAGCAGCUGGCUGUUAGCGCUUUUGCCAGCUGCGCCGGCGCUGACUCCGUCGAUGGGGCUGACGGGCACUACAAGACCGGCUACGCCCGCCGUGACACCGUCGUCGGGCACAUUAUGUUGCGUGAGUAUCCAACGGUGAUCUCCGGCGAUCAAAAACAAAUCGUGCUGGCCGUGAAGAACGAUGAGAGGUUGGCGUCGCGCACGCACAAUCGUGACUUUUUCUGUGCGUCCGACAUUGACGGCAUCGAUGACACAACCUAUGCACAGUGCCUCUCCAUCGGCCUCACCCACGGACAGAAACUCGGCGCCAACACCUCUACUGCCGAACCUCGGCUGGCCCUCUAUGGCGAACUAAGCACGCUUCGGCAUAGCUGCUGGCCAAACGCGGCCGUCCAGUACGAUCUCUUCACUGCACCGUACGCUGGAAUCUGCCGCUGCGCCCGAUUGGAGGGCAUUCGCCGCGGAGAGGAGAUCACGUAUCUCUACAAGCACGCCGACUCCCUCGCCUUCCUACUGCUUUCUCGUGAACGACGCCGCAACAUCCUCCAACGGAAGUACUUCCUGAACUGUGACUGCUGUCGCUGCUCUGAAACUCUGGAGAACACCACUUCUACCACCGUCACCGGCUCUACCACUGCUGCCGCUAUUGCCGCCUCAAUAUGCACCCCAGAUGAAAAGGGAAGUGCGGCCAAUGUGAAGCCGUUGAAGAACGCGACGAGCACCAAGGCGCAGCUGGAAGCGGAGUUGACCUUGACCGGGGCCUUCUUCACAGACUCGGGCGUCGACCGUGAUGCUGCGAAGCAGAGGGAGCUGAGGCAGGAAGUGCACAAGGACUUCGAGGCUCUACGCAUCAUGGAUGCCACCGGCGUUGAAAUCAAUCUCGCCCUUGUCGGCAACGUCUCUCCCAUUCAUCGAAUGAAACAAUGCAACCGUCUUCUCGGAUUUUUGCGCAAGUACGGCAGCUCAGAGUCGGUUCUGCGCCUUCAUGAUCACCACUGGCGGCUGAAUCUCGUGCGUGCGGCCUACGUGCAGGAGACGGUUCGACUGUGCGCCAUGAAGGGAGCUACGCCAGAUGCGCGGCAACGAGACCCGGACAGCAAGACACUCUUCGUCCCCACCAAGACGGUCUACGACAUUUCUCUGAAGCAGCUCGCCGCGGAGGCACUCUUUAUCCCUCCUGGGCACCCCCACAGCCUCGCCACGUACGAGUCCUACCUCUACCUCCUCGCGAUUCUGCCCCCGGCGAUCGCGCAGACGUCGGCGGAGUUAGCGCAGAGCGAGCCAAACAUUAAAUGGAAGCAGCUCCAGGAAACGAAGGAGGCGUGGGGCGUCCUGAAACGCGCCGCGCUGCCGCCGAACAUUCAGAGGCUUGUGCAGCCUAAGGAGCCGCCGCAGCUGCCUUCGCCGCAAGAGUGUGCACCACCCCCCGCAGCGGAACCACGUUCGCUGGCUGAGGAGUCAGUGUCAAAGGAGACCUCCAUGAAGGCCCCUCAAGUGUCGCCCAAGUGAAUACGCGGGAAUGUCUCCGAAUGGGAAAGAAGCGCGAGCUUGCGCAUUGGUGUGUUGUGGUUCUCGUUGUUGUUUUCUCGAGAACGAUUCUCUAUGAGUGCGAUCUCGUCGAGGCGAGCCCGAGGUGGUAGGGGCUCGAAAAAGUGUGUGUGUGUGUGUGUCUGUUUCACCCGUCUCCACUACUUGCCAGUACCAGAAUAGAAGCGGCUAUGUGUGGCAAAACAGUGGUGGUGUGAAUGGUAACGCGCUCCUUCACGCCUCAGCGUGUUGCAGCUAACGAGGACCUCCCACGUGGAGGUACAUUCGCACCUUUCUAUUAGCUAAUGCGUUCCUUUAUGUGCAUUUCGGUUUCCAUGUGUAUAUAUAUAUAUAUGUGAAUCUCUUGCUCUCGGCGUGUGCGUGUGCGUGUGCGUGUGUGUGGGGUAGCGCACCUGUGAUCGAGAGUAUGACGGCCCCUGUGCCCCUUUUGCUUGCCUUGAUGCAUGAGGCUCUCGUGCUUUAUUGCUGAUAGGAUCGUUUCGCUUUCACGCUGGUACACCCUCUCUCGCGGUGCCCCAUGCGAUGCACUGAUCCGGGUGUGCUAUCGAGGUGCCGCACUGAACGCCCACCACGUUUUGCGGGCCUUUUCUUUUGGGUUCGCCCUUCCAUCUCAGGUGUCAGGGAUCUUUUAGCUCUCGCAUACAUGGCACGUUAGCCUCUCGCAACCGCGCUCAGGAGCUCCCUCCAGCGCCCACUCCGCGAGCUGUCGCUACGCUGUAUGACGGUAAGCUGUCCUCUGUCUUGGUCCCAUCCUCCCCAUUGCAGUAAGCAGAAUGCGAUAAUGGAAAUUUGUCGACUUUCCCUUCUUUUUUCAGCAUGUGGCGGUGUCUGUGCGGGACUGGUGCCUGGGCUCCCAAGACGACUGGAUGCGCUUCUUGCACUAGUACACUGACCAGGAAUCUAUAUGGAGUGUGCAGGUGCGAGCUGUGAUGUUCGUAUGUGUGCGUAUGCGGUGGUUGGGGGGUCGCACGAGUCGGGGCGACGGCUGCACCGCCUCCGCUAAGCAGAAACCGCUCUUUGCGUUUCAGCGGCCCACUUUUUUUUUGGCGGUGCUGUUUCCGUGUCGCUGCUAGCUGUGUGCUCCCCCCCCCUCCCACCUCCCUCUGCGUCGUCUUUGUUGCCGUCUUCUUUCGCUUUUUUUUUGGUUCCGUCGCCCGCCGUGUAGAUCUCUUCUUCCGAAUGUGUGUGGCCGUGCCUUUAGCGCACGUGCCUGCAUCCGGUACCUUCUUUUCUUCCUCUCGUGAGGAGGCGGCAGUGCUGCAGCAGCGUUCAUUGAUGGCGCUGACGUCCUCCUGGUGAUGGCUAGGCUCAUCACCCAUGACUAAAUGUAGUCAACGAAUGAAAGAGUGUGGCGAGUCGGCUGUGAAACAGAGACCGCGCAUGACUUGGAUGCACUCGACUGCGAGACCUGCGGGAAAAGGUCGACGGGUAAAAGCAAGCCACCGCACCACCGAUCUAUAACAGUGGCGGCGGCAUGAUUUGCCUAGUCCUUUCUUUCCCUGUUUUCUUCAAGGUAGAGGCGCUACUACGAAUCUCAAAUGAUGAGCACCAGAUCACUAACAGGGAGCUGUGUGCUACUCUCAAGUCUAUUUCUCAUAUAUAUAUUUAUAUAUCUCGCUUGUUUCUUGGGCACUCCCCCACCCACCCAAUCACGUCACCGCACACGCACGGACAGACACAGACGGACAGACACAGCCGCGUCUUUGCGUCGGCAAGCGUUGCAGUCAUUAAGAUCAUCACGAG